rnacentral:rRNA from 1 species
CAAUAGCGUAUAUUAAAGUUGUUGCAGUUAAAAAGCUCGUAGUUGGAUUUCUGGCAGAGUGUCCUUUGGCCAGCAUGACGUUUGGUCCAGAGCGCUCUACCAUCCUUCUGUUAACCUUGUCAGCAUUCACUUGCUGGCCUGGGGCUCAGAUAUUUUACCUUGAGAAAAUUAGAGUGUUUCAGGCAGGCUUUCGCCGGAAUACAUUAGCAUGGAAUAAUGGAAAAGGACUUCAACCUCUUCUUAUGGUCUGAGAGGCUGUUGUAAUGAUUAAUAGGGAUAGUUGGGGGCAUUAGUACUUAACUGUCAGAGGUGAAAUUCUUGGAUUAUCGGAAGAUGAACUUCUGCGAAAGCAUCUGCCAAGGAUGUUUUCAUUGAUCAAGAACGAAAGUUAGGGGAUCGAAGACGAUCAGAUACCAU